AGAAAAGCUUUAAAUGAAAGAAUUUUUGUACUCAUUUCUGUCAGUUGGACUAGGAUGUGGUGUAUGCUCUAAUUAUAUUAGUGUGAGACAAGUAGAUGGUAGGUCGAUGGAGCUUUCAAGCAUCUGAGGCUAGUAGUUCCAUUUGAUGGGAAAAUUCGUUCUAACGUUCAUGCUGUCCAGCUAGCUGGUUCUUAUCUAACUUAUCUUGAGCAAUUGUGUUCGAUAUUGGACAUGAUAGCUUGCGAAGAUUCGUUGCCACGUAUCAAGUUGAAUUUUUACGAAACAAUCAAAAGAGAAGGCGAUCAUAGUAUCACAGGAGUGAUACCAGGAAAAACAGAAGUCUUAAGGGAUAGCUCAACAGAUGUAGCUUCGCCUCAAGACGAUCUGGAAAAUUUGCCUCCCUUAGACUUGUCUUUCGUGGAGAAUUACAACGAUUUAGAAAUCAACUUUGAUUGAAGACUUUGAAAGAGUAUUAUUGUUGUCAAUGAUUUUCUGAGUUUUUUGUCCAUAAUAGUUUAAUCGUUGCAUUUUUCAUUUUGAUCCCAGAGGUAGAUAUUUACAUUAACAAAAACAUUCCUACAUCACUUGAAAUAAAAAAUCUAGACCUUGAGUAAAGAAUUAUUUGGCAAUGGAGUCGUGAACAUUUUCGCAUCUCAUAUUUUUAGCCGUUUCUCUACGAUCGGGAAUGGGUCCUAAUAAAAAAGUUCAAUUUUCACCCCAUCAGAAAGAAUGAGCUCGUUGUCUUCAGUCAUCCAGAAGAAAAAAAGCUAGCAGUUAAAUUAGCGGGAGGUUUUGAAGGCGAUCUUUUUGCGAAGCGAGUGUCAAAUGAGCAAGUUCGAGUUGGCAAAGGACAUUUUUGGGCUCAGUCGGCUAACAGCCGAUUAUUUAAAGACAGCUUCUAUUACGGACCCGUCCCUCUAGGAUUGAUCAUUGGCAAACCGAUUGCUGUAUUAAGUUUCUCUAAUUUUCAAAUACGACCUGUUAAAUUGAGUUGAUAUUAUUGAUAAGAUAUUGAACUGGAGAA